GAUGAAGAACGUAGUGAAAUGCGAUAAGUAAUGUGAAUUGCAGAAUUCAGUGAAUCAUCGAAUCUUUGAACGCACAUUGCGCCCGCCAGUAUUCUGGCGGGCAUGCCUGUUCGAGCGUCAUUACAACCCUCAGGCCCCCGGGCCUGGCGUUGGGGAUCGGCGGAAGCCCCCUGCGGGCACAACGCCGUCCCCCAAAUACAGUGGCGGUCCCGCCGCAGCUUCCAUUGCGUAGUAGCUAACACCUCGCAACUGGAGAGCGGCGCGGCCACGCCGUAAAACACCCAACUUCUGAAUGUUGACCUCGAAUCAGGUAGGAAUACCCGCUGAACUUAAGCAUAUCAAUAAGCGGAGAA
rnacentral:misc_RNA from 1 species